AUUGAACGCUGGCGGCAGGCCUAACACAUGCAAGUCGAACGGUAACAGGAAGAAGCUUGCUUCUUUGCUGACGAGUGGCGGACGGGUGAGUAAUGUCUGGGAAACUGCCUGAUGGAGGGGGAUAACUACUGGAAACGGUAGCUAAUACCGCAUAACGUCGCAAGACCAAAGAGGGGGACCUUCGGGCCUCUUGCCAUCGGAUGUGCCCAGAUGGGAUUAGCUAGUAGGUGGGGUAACGGCUCACCUAGGCGACGAUCCCUAGCUGGUCUGAGAGGAUGACCAGCCACACUGGAACUGAGACACGGUCCAGACUCCUACGGGAGGCAGCAGUGGGGAAUAUUGCACAAUGGGCGCAAGCCUGAUGCAGCCAUGCCGCGUGUAUGAAGAAGGCCUUCGGGUUGUAAAGUACUUUCAGCGGGGAGGAAGGGAGUAAAGUUAAUACCGUAGCUCAUUGACGUUACCCGAAGAAGAAGCACCGGCUAACUACGUG
rnacentral:rRNA from 1 species